CAGAUAAAAGCCAAAUGGUUAGGCACUUUCUUUGGGAGAAAGACUACGUAGGUUCGAUUCCUGCUUAUCUGA
rnacentral:tRNA from 1 species